rnacentral:rRNA from 1 species
AAUGGGGGAAACCCUGAUCCAGCCAUGCCGCGUGAGUGAUGAAGGCCUUAGGGUCGUAAAGCUCUUUCGCCUGGGAUGAUAAUGACAGUACCAGGUAAAGAAACCCCGGCUAACUCCGUGCCAGCAGCCGCGGUAAUACGGAGGGGGUUAGCGUUGUUCGGAAUUACUGGGCGUAAAGCGCACGUAGGCGGACUGUUAAGUUAGAGGUGAAAUCCCGGGGCUCAACCCCGGAACUGCCUUUAAUACUGGCAGUCUAGAGUUCGAGAGAGGUGAGUGGAAUUCCGAGUGUAGAGGUGAAAUUCGUAGAUAUUCGGAGGAACAUCAGUGGCGAAGGCGGCUCACUGGCUCGAUACUGACGCUGAGGUGCGAAAGUGUGGGGAGCAAACAGGAUU